UACGGAGGGUGCGAGCGUUGUCCGGAAUCAUUGGGCGUAAAGGGCGCGUAGGUGGCCCCUCAAGCGGGCGGUGAAAGUCGGGGGCUCAACCCCCGAUCGGCCGUGCGAACUGGGGGGCUGGAGCACUGUAGAGGCAGGCGGAAUUCCGGGUGUAGCGGUGGAAUGCGUAGAGAUCCGGAGGAACACCGGUGGCGAAGGCGACCACCUGGACUGAUACUGACACUGAGGUGCGAAAGCGUGGGGAGCAAACAGG
rnacentral:rRNA from 1 species